UACGGAGGGUGCAAGCGUUAUCCGGAUUCACUGGGUUUAAAGGGUGCGUAGGUGGGUCUGUAAGUCCGUGGUGAAAUCUCCAGCUUAACUUGGAAACUGCCAUGGAUACUAUAGGUCUUGAAUACCGUGGAGGUGAGCGGAAUAUGUCAUGUAGCGGUGAAAUGCUUAGAUAUGACAUAGAACACCAAUUGCGAAGGCAGCUCACUACACGAAUAUUGACACUGAGGCACGAAAGCGUGGGGAUCAAACAGG
rnacentral:rRNA from 1 species